rnacentral:rRNA from 1 species
GACGAACGCUGGCGGCGUGCUUAACACAUGCAAGUCGAACGGUGAAGCUCCAGCUUGCUGGAGUGGAUCAGUGGCGAACGGGUGAGUAACACGUGAGCAACCUGCCCCUGACUCUGGAAUAAGCGCUGGAAACGGCGUCUAAUACUGGAUACGAGAAGGGUCCGCAUGGGCACUUUCUGGAAAGUUUGUCGGUUGGGGAUGGGCUCGCGGCCUAUCAGCUUGUUGGUGAGGUAAUGGCUCACCAAGGCGACGACGGGUAGCCGGCCUGAGAGGGCGACCGGCCACACUGGGAAGGGGAUACGGCCGAGACUCGUACGGGAGGCAGCAGAGGGGAAGAGAGCACAAUGGGCGGAGGCCGAAUGCAGCAACGCCGCGUGCGGGAUGACGGCCGUCGGGUUGUAAACCGCGUGCGCCUGUGACGAAGCGUGAGUGACGGUAAUGGGUAAAGAAGCACCGGCUAACUACGUG